GCGGGCGUAGUUUAGUGGUAAAACCUCAGCCUUCCAAGCUGAUGAUGGGGGUUCGAUUCCCCCCGCCCGCU
rnacentral:tRNA from 2 species